rnacentral:rRNA from 1 species
AUUGAACGCUGGCAGCAGGCCUAACACAUGCAAGUCGAGCGGGGUUUUCGGACCUAGCGGCGGACGGGUGAGUAAUGCGUAGGAAGCUGCCCGAUAGAGGGGGAUACCAGUUGGAAACGACUGUUAAUACCGCAUAAUGUCUACGGACCAAAGUGUGGGACCUUCGGGCCACUUGCUAUCGGAUGCGCCUACGUGGGAUU